AACGUAGGAAGCGAGCGUUAUCCGGAUUUACUGGGCGUAAAGCGCGUGUAGGCGGUUGUGUAAGUUGGCUGUGAAAGCUCCUGGCUUAACUGGGAGAGGUCGUUCAAUACUGCAUGACUAGAGGAUGAGAGAGGGAAGUGGAAUUCCGGGUGUAGUGGUGAAAUGCGUAGAUAUCCGGAGGAACACCAGUGGCGAAAGCGGCUUCCUGGCUCAUAACUGACGCUCAGACGCGAAAGCUAGGGGAGCGAACGGGAUUAGAGACCCCGGUAGUCCUAGCUGUAAACGAUGUGGACUUGGCGUCGGUGGGUUUGAAUCCAUCGGUGCCGAAGCAAACGCGAUAAGUCCACCGCCUGGGGACUACGGCCGCAAGGUUAAA
rnacentral:rRNA from 1 species